AAUGAGUUCGAGAUGCCGUCUCGUGCUGCUAUUAAUUGCACAAAUCGUGAUACUCGUGAAAAUCGCGAGAAGGGACUUACAUUUCACAGAUUUCCACACUGCAAUGUUCAACUUCUAAAGCAAUGGGUAGUAAAUAUGCGGAGAGACAGGUGGAUUCCUGCAGCCAGAUCGCAACUCUGUUCAAGUCAUUUCACCGAGGAGAACUUGGACAGGACCGGCCAGACUGUUAGAUUACGACAAAAUGCAGUUCCAACAAUAUUUGACUUUCGCGAUCAUCUUCUAAAGGGAGUAGAACGGGGGUGUCCAAACCUUUCCAAAGGGGGGAAGAAUAAACAAGACGACGGUAAGAAAGGAUCGCUUCUUGUUCUUUUCUGAUGCAAUUUACGAUUAUUUUCUCAGUCAAUUAAUCUGGAGCUUGUCGUUUCGAUUAAUCGAGUAAUCGGUUAGGCCAGGGCCACAUGGUGAA